AACGAACACUGGCGGCAGGCUUAACACAUGCAAGUCGAACGCAUCGCAAGAUGAGUGGCAGACGGGUGAGUAACGCGUGGGAACAUACCCUUUUCUACGGAAUAGCUCUGGGAAACUGGAAUUAAUACCGUAUACGCCCUACGGGGGAAAGAUUUAUCGGGGAAGGAUUGGCCCGCGUUGGAUUAGCUAGUUGGUGGGGUAAAGGCCUACCAAGGCGACGAUCCAUAGCUGGUCUGAGAGGAUGAUCAGCCACAUUGGGACUGAGACACGGCCCAAACUCCUACGGGAGGCAGCAGUGGGGAAUAUUGGACUAUGGGCGCAAGCCUGAUCCAGCCAUGCCGCGUGAGUGAUGAAGGCCUUAGGGUUGUAAAGCUCUUUCCCGAUGAAGAUAAUGACGGUAGUCGGAGAAGAAGCCCCGGCUAACUUCGUGCCAGCCGCCGCCGUAAUAC
rnacentral:rRNA from 1 species